CAUAGGGUUAAAUCUGUGUUGCCUCCAUGACCUGUGACCAUAACAAAUGAGAAAGUUGUGAAAACAGGGAAGGCUGGAAUUGCCCUGUGUCUAGACAAAAAGAAGAAAAAAAAUUGAGGAGGAGAGAGAAAAGCAAUGUUUAGAGCUUUUGGCAAAAGAAGGUACAGCUGCAAAACACAGCCCAUGAAGGGCUGUGUUCACCUGGCUUCUCUGCUAAGCUACACUCCCAAAUUGUCAGAGUCUCUGUACAGAUCUGAACUUUAAGGGGAAGGACAGGAAGUGGAAGCCCUUCCGCUUUUGAAGGUGUGUGUUUUGUAUUUCUCGCUGCUCAGAUGCCAUGGUUACAAGCACUACAGAAAACAAACCCGUGGUACCAGGAGAGUUAAAGAAGAGCCCUAACCCAGGGGUCUUUCAUCUCAUGGAAAUGAAGCCAAGCUGAGCUAUCUCCUGGUGUUCCUGCAGCAGCAGAGGGUUGAAGCAGCUGUGCUGGCCUAGGAAUGGCCCUGGAUGUCACACCUGAAGACAGCCAGCUCAGGCAAGUGUCUGCAGCCUAAUGCUGCUGUAUGUCUAAGUGCUGUUGUGAGCCACAGGCUGGGCUGUGGCUGCUGUUGUCACGUUAAGGAAACAGGCUGUGGCUUUAUCUCCCUCUUGAGAGUACCUUACAGAAAAAGGAGCAUUUUCUAGAUGUUAAAAGCAAGAGGCUCUGUCUAUGUUAAUGCUGCUGUGUGUAAGGUGUGAACUGCCCUUGGUGAUUGGCGAGGUGCUGUUAUCUGGGCUAAUUAAGCAGAAGAGAAGUGUCAAACCCUAUGUGAUACCCAAGGGAAAGAGCUUUACAAAAAAGUAAAUCUGGUCUUGUGCUGGACCUAGAGGUGCAGGCUUAGUCCAGGAGGUCAUCUUGUGUGUUGGGUGUUACUUUUAGUGCAAGUGUCCUGAGCUCCACUUUCAUUUACACUUCAAAAUACUAACCUCCCUCCCUAAAGAAGAAAGGUCACCACAGAAGAUCUUACCUCCCUCUGCUGAGCUGGUUUUUGCCCUUCUCCCCCCAGUUCAAAGGGAAUUUAACACAAAAGGGGGUAAGAACCACCAAACAAAUCUGAUGGCCAUCUUUGAAUAAGAACACCCACCUCAGGUAACUUAAAGAAAAAUACAAAGGAGAGGUCUUGCCAGUAUCUUAGUUUCCAUUUUUAUUAUUCCAUAGGGUUGUUAACAAAAGUUACACAUCUAGUCCCUUUGUAGUUAGGUUGCUUCCUUUCUUGCUUGUUCUGUGUUUGGGAACUUCCAUGUAUUAAGGAACUUUACAAUCCUUUUUGUUUUACUCUUUACAAUGACAGCUCCCCAAAAGGUAUUAUCACAGCACAAAUAACCUGGCAUCUCCCAAAAGCAAGAACAGGGGAGGUGUCAAACCUCAUGUACAAGACUGCUGAAGGUUACCACCCAGCCCCCUAGAAACACUUUUUAAAAAUUAUUUUAAAGAAUACUUUCUAAAUCCAUUGCACACGCUAUUUAACUUUGCAUUCAAGUGUGCAAAAAAAACCUCAAAACAAACCCACUCCAAACAACCAAAACCCCUAACUACUGUGAAGUCAUGCCCUAGGACAGGAUUUGCCUAGCACUUCUGAAGUUAGAACUGCAGAUGUGUGAGCACACCUUCAGAUGGGAGAUCAGGUAGAGUAGGUUUGAGACUGGCAUCCAGAUAAACUAGCCCAGAAAUCUGUGGCCUAAGAUCAACCCUAGACCAGCAUGACCUUGCUCACUGUAAUAACUUAAGUGUCUUUGGGUGUUAAACAAAAGAAACAUUUGAAUUCCAAUACUUGAGCUAACAAUGCUUAGUACAA